rnacentral:lncRNA from 1 species
CUUCCUCCAAUUUUUUUAUAAUCUUACUAGUCUCUGAAUCUUCCUGCCAUUCCAUCUUAAUAUCCUUAAGAAAGUCGUUGGUCAGAAGUGAAACAGCCAAAACUUCAACUUACUCGGGUAGCUGCGAAAGCGCAUAUGCUAGAACAUUCUCUUUCCCCUUUUUGUAAGUUAUUUCAUAAUCAAAUCCAAGAAGUUUUGUUACCCAUUUUUGCUGCUCAGGGGAUGAUAUCUUUCGCUCCAAAAAGUACUUGAGGC